CUGAUACUACACAGGAAGAUGAUAAGAUCACCAUUUAGCCUGUCCACGUAGGAUCAGAAAUUCAAGCCAAUCAAAUUGUCUUAAGAUGCCAUGUCAGAUUAGUAAAAAAAAACAACUUUACGAUGGCUAAUCCUUGUUUUCUCCUGCGCUUUUCCAAUGUCUCUAUCCAGCUUCUCAGUUCCAAGUUUUCUCCAUUAAUUUGUCCAACUUUCUGUAAACAAGUGUAUCUCUUAAAAAUAUCCUUCAUUCGAGAUUGAGGUGUAACCUGAGCUCCAAAAAGAGUUGUUUCAUCUUCUUCCUUAUCCAUCCGCAGAGAUACCGGUUACAGAUUAACCCUCUUCAAUUAUUUCUUAAAUACAUACCCCAUGAUCUCUUACUCCACUGUUCUUGAAGGCCUGCCGUUGUAACUUCCUAAAAGAUGAAGAUUUCAUUAGCCAACCUCAAUUAGGGUUAUCUCCUAAAUAUCUUCAAUCCUUAUGAUGACUCUUGCAGAGAAAAUUGAUUAGGCAUUCCAAAGGUGAGGAAAUCUAAACCUGAUUUCAUACUCCCGUGCUAACAACAACAUUGAUCCCUCCAAGGAGAGUUAGGUCCUUCAAGCUUUAU